CUCGUCUGCUGGGCUUCCUUACGUGCUGUAGCUAUAACUCGGCUGUGGUCUCACUGCCUACACCUAUUUUAAAUUUUCAGGAUGCAUUUUCUUCAGGCAGAGAUGCUAGCUCAGUCCAGGGCGUUUGCAGUGUUGAGUGCUGCGUUUAUUUGGUUUUCCUUCGGGUAAUUUGUGCAAUCUAAUGCUCCCCUUGCUUAAUUUCGCUGUGUAAAUCCACUCCUGCAAAGCACUUUUGCGUAAUUCCCAGGUGGUCUUCUUUGCUGGAGUCUUUCUUUGUACCUAAGUCCCCAUUUUCACCUGCUGGGCACCUCCUCAAGGCCAGCAGACAAAUCUGCCAUCUUCAGCAGCCCGGGAGGCUGAGUCCACCCGGACUCCAGGCCUUACUCCCUAGAUGGGUAGAGUGCUUUCCACCGGGACUCCCCGCCUUCCCCCUGCUGCUUCUACACAAGCAGACCGACUUCCCUGGAGGUGAGUGUGUCCCCCACUACCCUCUGGUGACCUCUGAAGUUGUGGUUCAUCAAGGAGCCUCCGGGGUAACUUGCUUGGACCCUUUGGGAUUGCGAGCUUCGCCUCUAGAGACAACAGCCUCCUUGAAUGGGACAAGGAGUGCGGUCGAAGGCACAGGACGGAGGCAGGACGUAUCUUUCCAGCAGCAUUUGGGUUUUGUUUCCUUGGUUUGCUUUUGAAGAUGAUUGCUUUUCCUCACGACAUAUUGGAAGUAUGAUUUACACGCAGUGGGUGGACGGCUUUUAGGUGCAGAGUUCUGAGAACUGAGACAGUUCCCAGCCAAGAUUCAGGGCGUUUCCUUCACCCUGUCAGCGACUGGUCAAUACGAAUCCCCCCAAAGGGGACCUGCUCAGCUUUCUGUCCCCAUGGCCUCGUUUGCCAGCUGUUGAACGUCACAUAAAUGAAGCUUAAAGUAUAAACUCAUCUGCGUUUACCUUCAGUCCAUGACACUGUAAAUCAGCGGUUCUCUCCUUUUCGUUGUCAAAAAGCACCCACAGUCGCCAGGACGGACAGGGACCGUUCUGUGUUUGUCCUUGAAGAAGAGAGCGACUGGAAACAUUCUUGCUCAUGUUUUCUGUGGAUCCUGUUCUUGCUGCUCUUGGUACCAGAGUGCUGCGUUCAGGGAAUAUGGUUUCUGUUGAACUUAACCAAAAAGUGACAAGAUGGUCAUGGCAUUUGACACUCCGAAUGGCAAUGUUUAAAAGUUUUUCGGUUCUUCCACAUCUUUGCCAACAUUGAGUGCUUUGUCUUUUUAAUCGUAUCCAUGAUAAGCGGUGUGUGACUCUAUUUCAUUAAGGUUUAAAUUUGGAUUUCCCUAGUGAGACAUAGAGUAAGCCACCCUUUCUUGUACUAUUCUUUCAUUUUCCUUUGGGAAAUUUCUAUUCAAAUUUUCUGCCCGUUUUCAAUUUUGCUGUUUGUCUCUUUUAUUGAGAUGCAAUGGCUCAUGAAUUCUAGAGAUCGACUUUGGAUGAAGACUACUUUCUCCUCCUUGUGGAUUAUCUUUUAUUUUCAUAAUGAUGUUAUUUGAAAUCAUAGGUUUCUAAUGCUUAUGAAGUCUGUUUUGUUCCUGCUAAUUGGCUUUGUCUUGAUUAAGAACUCUUCUCUCAAGAUUAAAAUAAAGAGAUUCCUUUGUGUUUUCUUCAAAUGUUGUAAAAUUCAUUUACAUUUAGAUCUAUGAUUCAUUGCAACUUGACUUUCUCUACAGUGUGAUGUAAGGCUUGAAUUUCAUUUUUCUCCAUAUGAAUAUUUUUGGUUUUUGUUGUUUUGUUUGGAUUGGUUUUUUUUGGUACUGGGGAUCGAACUCGGGACCUUGCGCUUGCGAAGCAGGUGCCAGAACCACUAAGCUAAAUCCCCAGCCCUCUCCAUAUGAAUCUUAACAUUUUUCCAGAACUAUUUCAUGAAAAGGCUUUCUUUACUCCAUUGAAUUCUUUGAACGAGUAGAUCUAUUUCAGGAAGCUAUUGUGUUCUAAUGAUCACUUAUAUACCCUUUCACCAAUCCAGAACCAUCUUGAUUAUUGUAGCUUUUUAGUAUAUCUUGCAGUUAGGUAGCACACACUCUCCAAGUUUGUUUCUUCUUUCAAAACCACUUUGGAGAGUCAAAGUACUUUUGACUUCCUUUAAAUUUUAAGGUCAACUUUUCAGUUUCCAUGAUAAGGAAGGAUGAAAUUUUUAUUGUCUUGCUUCCAUAGACCAGAUUCAGAAAAUUGAACCCUUAACACUAUCAGUGUGGAGACUUUUGAUUCAGAAACGGUAGGUCUAUCUUUCCAUUUAUCAGGUUGUCUUUUGUUUCUUUCAGUAGUAUUUUGCAGUUUUCAGGAUAGAGGACUUGCUAAUACUUUCUUAUAUUAAUUUUAGGUAUUUUUUUGCUUUUUUAAUGAUAUUGUACAUUGUAUUGAUUAAUUUUAUUUUACAGAUUUUUAUUUCUGGGAUAUAGCAACACAUGUAAGUAUUAUGUGUUGGCCUUAAAUCCCAUGACCAAUAUUGUUGGCAAUGUUGUUGUCUAUUUUUGGUGUUAGUGUUAGUCCAGACUUCAUAAUUAACUGUAGGGAACUAUUUUCUCCUUCUUUGAAUUUCGACAUGUCUUUAAGAAUAAUACUAACUUUUUUUCAGUGCUGCUGAUCAAACUCAGGGCCUGGUGCAUGGUAGGCAAGCACUUUACCCCUGAGCUACCUCCCCACCCUG
ensembl:lncRNA